GAACCUGUGGCUCAGUGAGUAGGGCGCUGGCCUCAUAUGCCGGAAGUGGUAGGUUCAAACCUAGCCCUGGCCA
rfam:Otolemur garnettii contig177736, whole genome shotgun sequence.